UCCAGACUCCUACGGGAGGCAGCAGUGGGGGAUAUUGCACAAUGGGGGGAACCCUGAUGCAGCGACGCCGCGUGGGUGAAGGAGCGUUUCGGCGCGUAAAGCCCUCUCGGCAGGGAAGAAGGAGGACGGUACCUGACUAAGAAGCCCCGGCUAGCUACGUGCCAGCAGCCGCGGUAAUACGUAGGGGGCAAGCGUUAUCCGGAUUUACUGGGUGUAAAGGGGGCGCAGACGGCAGCGCAAGCCAGGAGUGAAAGCCCGGGGCCCAACCCCGGGACUGCUCUUGGAACUGCGCGGCUGGAGUGCAGGAGGGGCAGGCGGAAUUCCUGGUGUAGCGGUGAAAUGCGUAGAUAUCAGGAGGAACACCGGUGGCGAAGGCGGCCUGCUGGACUGCGACUGACGUUGAGGCCCGAAAGCGUGGGGAGCAAACAGGAUUAGAUACCCUCGUA
rnacentral:rRNA from 1 species